AUUGAACGCUGGCGGCAUGCUUUACACAUGCAAGUCGAACGGCAGCGCGGGCUUCGGCCUGGCGGCGAGUGGCGAACGGGUGAGUAAUGCAUCGGAACGUGCCCAGUCGUGGGGGAUAGCCCGGCGAAAGCCGGAUUAAUACCGCAUACGACCUGAGGGUGAAAGCGGGGGACCGAAAGGCCUCGCGCUAUUGGAUCGGCCGAUGUCGGAUUAGCUAGUUGGUGGGGUAAAGGCUUACCAAGGCGACGAUCCGUAGCUGGUCUGAGAGGACGACCAGCCACACUGGGACUGAGACACGGCCCAGACUCCUACGGGAGGCAGCAGUGGGGAAUUUUGGACAAUGGGGGCAACCCUGAUCCAGCCAUGCCGCGUGCGGGAAGAAGGCCUUCGGGUUGUAAACCGCUUUUGUUCGGGAAGAAAUCCUCUGGGCUAAUACCCCGGGGGGAUGACGGUACCGGAAGAAUAAGCACCGGCUAACUACGUG
rnacentral:rRNA from 1 species